rnacentral:rRNA from 1 species
UCGCAUGGUGGGGGGUGGAAAGCUUUUUUGUGGUUUUGGAUGGACUCGCGGCCUAUCAGCUUGUUGGUGAGGUAAUGGCUCACCAAGGCGACGACGGGUAGCCGGCCUGAGAGGGUGACCGGCCACACUGGGACUGAGACACGGCCCAGACUCCUACGGGAGGCAGCAGUGGGGAAUAUUGCACAAUGGGCGCAAGCCUGAUGCAGCGACGCCGCGUGAGGGAUGACGGCCUUCGGGUUGUAAACCUCUUUCAGUAGGGAAGAAGCGAAAGUGACGGUACCUGCAGAAGAAGCGCCGGCUAACUACGUGCCAGCAGCCGCGGUAAUACGUAGGGCGCAAGCGUUAUCCGGAAUUAUUGGGCGUAAAGAGCUCGUAGGCGGUUUGUCGCGUCUGCCGUGAAAGUCCGGGGCUCAACUCCGGAUCUGCGGUGGGUACGGGCAGACUAGAGUGAUGUAGGGGAGACUGGAAUUCCUGGUGUAGCGGUGAAAUGCGCAGAUAUCAGGAGGAACACCGAUGGCGAAGGCAGGUCUCUGGGCAUUAACUGACGCUGAGGAGCGAAAGCAUGGGGAGCGAACAGGAUUAGAUACCCUGGUAGUCCAUGCCGUAAACGUUGGGCACUAGGUGUGGGGGACAUUCCACGUUUUCCGCGCCGUAGCUAACGCAUUAAGUGCCCCGCCUGGGGAGUACGGCCGCAAGGCUAAAACUCAAAGGAAUUGACGGGGGCCCGCACAAGCGGCGGAGCAUGCGGAUUAAUUCGAUGCAACGCGAAGAACCUUACCAAGGCUUGACAUGGGCCGGACCGGGCUGGAAACAGUCCUUCCCCUUUGGGGCCGGUUCACAGGUGGUGCAUGGUUGUCGUCAGCUCGUGUCKUGAGAUGUUGGGUUAAGUCCCGCAACGAGCGCAACCCUCGUUCCAUGUUGCCAGCGCGUAAUGGCGGGGACUCAUGGGAGACUGCCGGGGUCAACUCGGAGGAAGGUGGGGACGACGUCAAAUCAUCAUGCCCCUUAUGUCUUGGGCUUCACGCAUGCUACAAUGGCCGGUACAAAGGGUUGCGAUACUGUGAGGUGGAGCUAAUCCCAAAAAGCCGGUCUCAGUUCGGAUUGGGGUCUGCAACUCGACCCCAUGAAGUCGGAGUCGCUAGUAAUCGCAGAUCAGCAACGCUGCGGUGAAUACGUUCCCGGGCCUUGUACACACCGCCCGUCAAGUCACGAAAGUUGGUAACACCCGAAGCCGGUGGCCUAACCCCUUGUGGGAGGGAGCUGUCGA